rnacentral:tRNA from 1 species
GGGCCCGUAGCUCAGCUGGUUAGAGCGCACGCCUGAUAAGCGUGAGGUCGGUGGUUCGAGUCCACUCGGGCCCA